rnacentral:tRNA from 1 species
GGCGAUGUAGCUCAGGUGGUCAGAGCAUGCGGCUCAUAUCCGCAGUGUCCGGGGUUCAAGUCCCUGCAUCGCCACCA